CUCCUACGGGAGGCAGCAGUGGGGAAUAUUGGACAAUGGGCGCAAGCCUGAUCCAGCAAUACCGCGUGAGGGAUGAAGGCUUUCGAGUCGUAAACCUCUGUCAGUUGGAACGAUGGGUCUAAAGGUUAAUACCCUUUAGACUUGACGGUACCUUCAAAGGAAGCCCCGGCUAACUCCGUGCCAGCAGCCGCGGUAAUACGGAGGGGGCAAGCGUUGCUCGGAAUUACUGGGCGUAAAGGGUCCGCAGGUGGCUUUGUAAGUUAGAUGUGAAAUCUCAGGGCUCAACCCUGAAACUGCAUCUAAUACUGCUUAGCUUGAGUACAGGAGAGGUUGGCGGAAUUCCCGGUGUAGCGGUGAAAUUCGUAGAUAUUAGGAAGAACACCAGUGGCGAAGGCGGCUCACUGGCUCGAUACUGACGCUGAGGCGCGAAAGCGUGGGGAGCAAACAGGAUUAGAUACCCUGGUAGUCCACGCCGUAAACGAUGAGAGCUAGCCGUCGGGCGGCAUGCCGUUCGGUGGCGCAGCUAACGCAUUAAGCUCUCCGCCUGGGGAGUACGGUCGCAAGAUUAAAACUCAAAGGAAUUGACGG
rnacentral:rRNA from 1 species